rnacentral:rRNA from 1 species
UACGUAGGGUCCGAGCGUUGUCCGGAAUUACUGGGCGUAAAGAGCUCGUAGGUGGUUUGUCGCGUUGUUCGUGAAAACUCACAGCUCAACUGUGGGCGUGCGGGCGAUACGGGCAGACUGGAGUACUGCAGGGGAGACUGGAAUUCCUGGUGUAGCGGUGGAAUGCGCAGAUAUCAGGAAGAACACCCGUGGCGAAGGCGGCACUCUGGGCCGAUACUGACACUGAGGAGCGAAAGCGUGGGGAGCGAACAGG